rnacentral:rRNA from 1 species
GAUGAACGCUGGCGGCGUGCCUAAUACAUGCAAGUCGAGCGAACAGACGAGGAGCUUGCUCCUCUGACGUUAGCGGCGGACGGGUGAGUAACACGUGGAUAACCUACCUAUAAGACUGGGAUAACUUCGGGAAACCGGAGCUAAUCCCGGAUAAUAUAUUAAACCGCAUGGUUCAAUAGUGAAAGACGGUUUUGCUGUCCCUUAUAGAUGGAUCCGCGCCGCAUUAGCUAGUUGGUAAGGUAACGGCUUGCCAAGGCAACGAUGCGUAGCCGACCUGAGAGGGUGAUCGGCCACACUGGAACUGAGACACGGUCCAGACUCCUACGGGAGGCAGCAGUAGGGAAUCUUCCGCAAUGGGCGAAAGCCUGACGGAGCAACGCCGCGUGAGUGAUGAAGGUCUUCGGAUCGUAAAACUCUGUUAUUAGGGAAGAACAAAUGUGUAAGUAACUAUGCACGUCUUGACGGUACCUAAUCAGAAAGCCACGGCUAACUACGUG